rnacentral:lncRNA from 1 species
CUAUGACGUGGAAAGGGAGCAUAUUUUGAAUUUUCAAUAAAUAACAAAUCUUGCCAUAUUCAUUGUUGGGCCGGGUUUUACAAUUGAGAGUAAUUAAGUGGGCAACAAUACCCACUCAUAAGAAAAGACCGGGUAAUUCAAAUAUGCUCAGCAUAUUGUCCGCGAUUUCUCUUUCUCUGGCCCCAAUUCUUGAAACCUACCGCCUGUACAAGAAGCCGUCGUCUCCGGCUUGAAGGUAAAGGGUUGUUCCGACUUCAAGUUGUCGCCGUCUUCAUAGAUUAGGCGGUGUAAAAAAGAGCUGUUCCAGCUUCAAGCUAUCGCCAUCUUCGAUGACGGACAAAGGUAGAAAAAGCUUGUUUGAGAUGUAUAAAUGCCGAAAUCAAUGGUUACAGUACACUACGGUAGAAAAAGUUUGUUUGAGAUGUGAACAAACCUAAAUUGCUGCUAUGUUGUAACGUAAUCCCAUUUUCGACCACUUUGUUUUACAAGGAAAUCUGUCAACCCAUUUUCACUCACUUGUGUUAUGAUUUUUUUAUGUUUUUUUUACUAUUUUUGUAAUAUAUUUUUUUUAUUUACUUAUUACAGUAAUCUCAGUUAUUACUAUCAUAUUUUGGGAAUACUAUGUUGUAACGUAAUCCCAUUUGUCGUUUGGGGAAAGCUUAAAUGUUUGGGAAUAUUAUGCCAAUGACUCUGUUUUUUUUAUUUACUUAUUUAGGGAAUAUUAUGUUGUAACGUAAUCCCAUUUGGGAAAGCUUAAUUUGUUUUGUGAAUUAGUUGUAACGUUGGGUACUUGAAUUUUUUACUACAAGCAACGACAAUUCGGAAGAGGUUGACAAUGUCAUUCUAUUAGAAGACAGAAAUGACAACAAUUUGGAUAGUGUGAACUUCAUGGAUGAUGGAAUUGAAAGAGUGGACAGUGUGAUAGUGCCCGUGGUGGUAUGAAAUUCAACGAUGAAAAAGAAAUGUUUAAGUUCAAACGCACCUCUCCAACAUGGUGCAAACAUGUGAUUUUGGAUGAAAAUAAUUGAUGCUGUUGGCAGCUCACUUGUGAGGGAAAUGUGGCUCAUAUUGUUGUGAUGCCGAAUAUCACCAUUGAGAAGUUGGAUUACUUUUUGAGCGAAUUAGUUCGAGGAUGAUUAAUCUGGUAUAGAGAUAAGAAAGUUCAGCCUCCAUGCCUUGCAGAAGAUGUCGGUAUAGAUAACUGUUCUUGUGCUCUUCACAAGUAGUUUGUCUAGUAGCUUGAGGUUCUCUAAGACCCUCAUUGUUGGUCUGUAGCUAAACUUUUCUAAGUUUUCUGAGAGAAGAUCAUCCCUUUGAUUUGUUAUGAAAAACAAAUUCAUAAUUGAAAUCACACUUUUGGAUUUUACUGCUCCUUUGUGCAUUUUAUUGUGCUGAUGGUAUUGUUCCAAGUGAUUUAGUAAAGAAAAUCCAGUUAACAAAUAAUUACUGAAUAAUCUUGCCUAAGAGGAUGAAUUGCCUUAUGUUUG